rnacentral:rRNA from 1 species
UGACCUCAAAUCAGGUAGGACUACCCGCUGAACUUAAGCAUAUCAAUAAGCGGAGGAAAAGAAACUAACAAGGAUUCCCCUAGUAACUGCGAGUGAAGCGGGAAAAGCUCAAAUUUAAAAUCUGGCGGUCUUUUGGCUGUCCGAGUUGUAAUCUAGAGAAGUGUUAUCCGCGCUGGACCGUGUACAAGUCUCCUGGAAUGGAGCAUCAUAGAGGGUGAGAAUCCCGUCUUUGACAUGGACUACCAGGGCUUUGUGAUGCGCUCUCAAAGAGUCGAGUUGUUUGGGAAUGCAGCUCAAAAUGGGUGGUAAAUUCCAUCUAAAGCUAAAUAUUGGCGAGAGACCGAUAGCGAACAAGUACCGUGAGGGAAAGAUGAAAAGAACUUUGGAAAGAGAGUUAAACAGUACGUGAAAUUGCUGAAAGGGAAACGCUUGAAGUCAGUCGCGUCAUCCAGGGAUCAACCUUGCUUUUGCUUGGUGCACUUUCUGGUUUGAUGGGUCAGCAUCAAUUUUGACCAUUGGAAAAAGGCCAAGGGAAUGUGGCAUCUUCGGAUGUGUUAUAGCCUUUGGUCACAUACAAUGGUUGGGAUUGAGGAACUCAGCACGCCGCAAGGCCGGGUUUAAACCAC